AGAGCAAUGUCAGGGAAAGGUGGACUGAGCAGCAGUCAUCAUUGUCACCUGUGAUUUCUACAAAUGAAGGCACUUCUUCACCUGUUCAUGAUCCACCAGAUAACGAGGAUGUGGUGCCUUUUGAAACAUCUUCUCCUUCAACAUCAUGUACGACACCAGGCCAUCCACAUGAUAUAUCUCAAAAUCCAGCGGAGGGACCUAGACAGCCACACUUAAAGAUAUUUCCUCGAACAGUACAUGGUGAAAAGAAGAGGGCCUUCAGCAAGACAUGGUAUUCACAACACAAAUGGCUGGAAUAUUCUCAAAGUCGGGACUCUGUCUAUUGUUUUGCAUGUAGACACUUUUCCCUUCCAAAUGCUUCUGAAACUCCUUUUA